GAGAAACACAGGGCAGAAGCCUGACUCUGACUUGUUCCUUCUCCUGAGAGGGACAUUGUCAACACAGGGCGUGUGGCAAUGAUGUCCAGCCAGCUGGGGUUUGACUCUUAAGAGCAAACAGAGAGGGAGCUCCCUGUGGCUCCGGGGGGACCAGGACAUGCCCACCCUCCAGAGCUGGUGCCCACUUUCCACCCAGGAAGGUCAGAGCCUGUCGGACCACAAGACACACGCCCUGCUGUCCAGGAAGCCAUGAUGAACCUGUCCACCCCGGGCCUGGGGACUCCACAUGUGUCCCUUCAGCAAGCAGCAGGCUUGGCACAGGGCAGGGUGUGGCCAUUAGGCCUGUGCUCAGGACUCCAAGGGCCAAUGAGGAAAUGUGAGCAUCCUGAUCAGAACACACAGGAGGACCUACUGGAUCCUGAAGCUGACCCCAAGUGCAGAAAUGGAGCAGAAAGUAGGUCUGUCCUGCUCACGAUCAGGACAGCAGCCUUUGCCAACACACGGCAGUUCCUGUUCUCUUUAUUGAACGUUGUUCAGUAAUGGGUAGGUGCAGAAAUCGUUCAUCAGGAGAGGUGACCUUGAUUUCCCUCGGUGGGCAUGUGGGUGUGUGGGUGCUGACCUCAGCUGGACAGCCACCUCUCCUCU
rnacentral:lncRNA from 1 species